ensembl:lncRNA
GAUAGAGGAAGAGAGGGAAGGAGGCCACAGCCCAUCUUGUGGUUGGCACCCAUUUGUCAAGCUUUUCACCUUUCCGAUCUGCUUCAAAUGCCGAAUGACCAUAGAACAGUCGACACUGAGCUCUUCAGCAAUUUCUUGUGUGGUUGUGAAGAGGAUCAGCUUUGAUGAUCCUCUCAGUUGGUCAUAGUCAACUUCCAAUGGCCAGCCACUGUGCUUCUCAUCCUCAAAGCACUCAUCUCCUUUACAAAACUUCUUGAAACAUCACUGCACUGCAUUGUACUGCAACUGGAGCAAAACAGGAUAUAUUUAUAUGGAUGUAUCACAGACUGAUCCUGGUUCUGGACUCUACCUUCCAAAUCUUUUUACAACUCUCUACUACACUUGUUAAAUAUUUUUGGCCUGCUUCUGUUUAGGAGUGUUUGUGGGUAUGAUGGAUAGAUUCCUAGCUUCCUUCUAGACCUUGCCCUUCUCUGAAUC